rnacentral:rRNA from 1 species
GACGAACGCUGGCGGCGUGCCUAACACAUGUAAGUCGCACGGGACUGGAGGGCAACUUCCAGUUCAGUGGCAGACGGGUGCGUAACACGUGAGGAACCUGUCCGACGGCGGGGAUAGCCGGCCCAACGGCCGGGUAAUACCGCAUACGAUCGUUCGGGGGCAUCCCUGAACGAGGAAAGCAGCCGCAAGGUUGCGCCGAUGGAGGGUCUCGCGGCCUAUCAGCUAGUUGGCGGGGUAANGGCCCACCAAGGCGACGACGGGUAGCUGGUCUGAGAGGAUGGCCAGCCACAUUGGGACUGAGACACGGCCCAGACUCCUACGGGAGGCAGUAGUGGGGAAUCUUGCGCAAUGGCCGCAAGGCUGACGCAGCGACGCCGCGUGU